rnacentral:rRNA from 1 species
GACGAACCGAGCGAACGUUGUUCGGAAUCACUGGGCUUAAAGGGCGCGUAGGCGGGUGCUCAAGUCCGUGGUGAAAUCCUCCGGCUCAACCGGAGAACUGCCUCGGAUACUGGGCGCCUCGAGGGUGGUAGGGGUAUGCGGAACUAUCGGUGGAGCGGUGAAAUGCGUAGAUAUCGAUAGGAACUCCGGUGGCGAAGGCGGCAUACUGGACCACCUCUGACGCUGAGGCGCGAAAGCCAGGGGAGCAAACGGG